rnacentral:rRNA from 1 species
GUGUCAGCCGCCGCGGUAAGACAGAGGGUGCAAACGUUGCUCGGAAUCAUUGGGCGUAAAGCGCGUGUAGGCGGCUUGUUACGUCGGGUGUGAAAGCCCGGGGCUCAACCCCGGCAGUGCACCCGAAACGGGGAAGCUGGAGUACUGGAGAGGCGAGUGGAAUUCCUGGUGUAGAGGUGAAAUUCGUAGAUAUCAGGAGGAACACCGGUGGCGAAGGCGACUCGCUGGCCAGUAACUGACGCUGAGACGCGAAAGCGUGGGGAGCAAACAGGAUUAGAAACCCCCGUAGUCC